UACGGGGGGGGCAAGCGUUGUUCGGAAUUACUGGGCGUAAAGGGCUCGUAGGUGGCCAACUAAGUCAUGCGUGAAAUCCCGCGGCUCAACCGUGGAACUGCCUUAGAUACUGACGGCCUCGAGGGAGAUAGGGGCGAGCGGAACUGUGAGUGGAGCGGUGAAAUGCGUUGAUAUUCACAGGAACUCCGGUGGCGAAGGCGGCUCGCUGGAUCUUUUCUGACGCUGAGGCGCGAAAGCUAGGGGAGCAAACGGG
rnacentral:rRNA from 1 species